rnacentral:rRNA from 1 species
UACGGUAGGGGGGCAAGCGUUUGUCCGGAUUUAUUGGGGCGUAAAGGAGCGUGUAGGCGGUCAGGUAGGUCCGGUUGUGAAAAACUCGAGGCUCAACCUCGAGACGCCGAUGGAAACCAUCUGACUAGAGUCCGGAAGAGGAGGAGUGGAAUUCCUGGUGUAGGCGGUUGGAAAUGACGGCAGAUAUCAGGAAGAACAGCCCCGUGGCUAAGGCGGCUCGUCUAGUACGGUACUGACGCUGAGACGCGAAAGCGUGGGGAGCGAACAGG